GCCGGCGAGCCUUGCAGCGCAAGCUCCCGCUGAACUCCCCCAGGGUCGGAAGGCAGCAAGGGUAGGCGGUUGAUGCGGCGUGUGCGAGUAACUCGCCUUUUUU
rnacentral:SRP_RNA from 2 species